GAAUAUGUCCUAAAUAACUUGAAGGCACCAGUCCCCAUUUUAUCUUGAAGCUAAGCAGGGUCUGCCCUGGUCAGUAUGUGGGUGAAAGACUGCCACUGAAUACCAGGUGUUGUAGGCU
rnacentral:rRNA from 11 species